CUCCUACGGGAGGCAGCAGUGGGGAAUCUUGCGCAAUGGGCGAAAGCCUGACGCAGCCAUGCCGCGUGAAUGAUGAAGGUCUUAGGAUUGUAAAAUUCUUUCACCGGGGAAGAUAAUGACGGUACCCGGAGAAGAAGCCCCGGCUAACUUCGUGCCAGCAGCCGCGGUAAUACGAAGGGGGCUAGCGUUGCUCGGAAUUACUGGGCGUAAAGGGCGCGUAGGCGGACAGUUUAGUCAGAGGUGAAAGCCCAGGGCUCAACCUUGGAAUUGCCUUUGAUACUGGCUGUCUUGAGUUCGGGAGAGGUGAGUGGAAUGCCGAGUGUAGAGGUGAAAUUCGUAGAUAUUCGGCGGAACACCAGUGGCGAAGGCGACUCACUGGCCCGAUACUGACGCUGAGGCGCGAAAGCGUGGGGAGCAAACAGGAUUAGAUACCCUGGUAGUCCACGCUGUAAACGAUGAGUGCUAGUUGUCGGCAUGCAUGCAUGUCGGUGACGCAGCUAACGCAUUAAGCACUCCGCCUGGGGAGUACGGUCGCAAGAUUAAAACUCAAAGGAAUUGACGG
rnacentral:rRNA from 1 species